UCCUACGGGAGGCAGCAGUAAGGAAUAUUGGUCAAUGGGCGCAAGCCUGAACCAGCCAUGCCGCGUGAAGGAUGACGGCCCUAUGGGUUGUAAACUUCUUUUGUACGGGAAAAAACCACCGGUCGUGUAUCGGUGCUGAUGGUACCGUAAGAAUAAGCAUCGGCUAACUCCGUGCCAGCAGCCGCGGUAAUACGGAGGAUGCAAGCGUUAUCCGGAUUCAUUGGGUUUAAAGGGUGCGCAGGCGGAAUAAUAAGUCAGUGGUGAAAGCCUACAGCUUAACUGUAGAACUGCCAUUGAUACUGUCAUUCUUGAGUAUUGUUGAGGUAGGCGGAAUGUGUCAUGUAGCGGUGAAAUGCUUAGAUAUGACACAGAACACCGAUCGCGAAGGCAGCUUACCAAGCAAUAACUGACGCUCAUGCACGAAAGCGUGGGGAUCAAACAGGAUUAGAUACCCUGGUAGUCCACGCCGUAAACGAUGAUCACUCGAUGUUGGCGAUACACAGUCAGCGUCUUAGGGAAACUAUUAAGUGAUCCACCUGGGGAGUACGGUCGCAAGAUUGAAACUCAAAGGAAUUGACGGGGGCCCGCACAAGCGGAGGAGCAUGUGGUUUAAUUCGAUGAUACGCGAGGAACCUUACCUGGGCUCGAACGUGGAAUGACAGUCGCGGAAACGUGAUCUUCUUCGGACAUUCUACGAGGUGCUGCAUGGUUGUCGUCAGCUCGUGCCGUGAGGUGUCGGGUUAAGUCCCAUAACGAGCGCAACCCCUAUCUUUAGUUGCCAUCAGGUAAUGCUGGGGACUCUAAAGAAACUGCCUACGCAAGUAGUGAGGAAGGCGGGGAUGACGUCAAAUCAGCACGGCCCUUACGUCCAGGGCUACACACGUGCUACAAUGGCCGGUACAGAGGGCAGCUACCUGGUGACAGGAUGCAAAUCUCCAAAGCCGGUCUCAGUUCGGAUCGAAGUCUGAAACUCGACUUCGUGAAGUUGGAUUCGCUAGUAAUCGCGCAUCAGCCAUGGCGCGGUGAAUACGUUCCCGGGCCUUGUACACACCGCCAU
rnacentral:rRNA from 1 species